rnacentral:rRNA from 1 species
GGNCUUAGCUUGCUAAGGCCGAUGGCGACCGGCGCACGGGUGAGUAACACGUAUCCAACCUGCCGUCUACUCUUGGACAGCCUUCUGAAAGGAAGAUUAAUACAAGAUGGCAUCAUGAGUCCACAUGUUCACAUGAUUAAAGGUAUUCCGGUAGACGAUGGGGAUGCGUUCCAUUAGAUAGUAGGCGGGGUAACGGCCCACCUAGUCUUCGAUGGAUAGGGGUUCUGAGAGGAAGGUCCCCCACAUUGGAACUGAGACACGGUCCAAACUCCUACGGGAGGCAGCAGUGAGGAAUAUUGGUCAAUGGGCGAGAGCCUGAACCAGCCAAGUAGCGUGAAGGAUGACUGCCCUAUGGGUUGUAAACUUCUUUUAUAAAGGAAUAAAGUCGGGUAUGGAUACCCGUUUGCAUGUACUUUAUGAAUAAGGAUCGGCUAACUCCGUGCCAGCAGCCGCGGUAAUACGGAGGAUCCGAGCGUUAUCCGGAUUUAUUGGGUUUAAAGGGAGCGUAGAUGGAUGUUUAAGUCAGUUGUGAAAGUUUGCGGCUCAACCGUAAAAUUGCAGUUGAUACUGGAUAUCUUGAGUGCAGUUGAGGCAGGCGGAAUUCGUGGUGUAGCGGUGAAAUGCUUAGAUAUCACGAAGAACUCCGAUUGCGAAGGCAGCCUGCUAAGCUGCAACUGACAUUGAGGCUCGAAAGUGUGGGUAUCAAACAGGAUUAGAUACCCUGGUAGUCCACACGGUAAACGAUGAAUACUCGCUGUUUGCGAUAUACAGCAAGCGGCCAAGCGAAAGCGUUAAGUAUUCCACCUGGGGAGUACGCCGGCAACGGUGAAACUCAAAGGAAUUGACGGGGGCCCGCACAAGCGGAGGAACAUGUGGUUUAAUUCGAUGAUACGCGAGGAACCUUACCCGGGCUUAAAUUGCAGAUGAAUUACGGUGAAAGCCGUAAGCCGCAAGGCAUCUGUGAAGGUGCUGCAUGGUUGUCGUCAGCUCGUGCCGUGAGGUGUCGGCUUAAGUGCCAUAACGAGCGCAACCCUUGUUGUCAGUUACUAACAGGUUCCGCUGAGGACUCUGACAAGACUGCCAUCGUAAGAUGUGAGGAAGGUGGGGAUGACGUCAAAUCAGCACGGCCCUUACGUCCGGGGCUACACACGUGUUACAAUGGGGGGUACAGAGGGCCGCUACCACGCGAGUGGAUGCCAAUCCCAAAAACCUCUCUCAGUUCGGACUGGAGUCUGCAACCCGACUCCACGAAGCUGGAUUCGCUAGUAAUCGGGCAUCAGCCACGGCGCGGUGAAUACGUUCCCGGGCCUUGUACACACCGCCCGUCAAGCCAUGGGAGCCGGGGCUUCUGGGAGUGCGUAACCGCGAGGAGCG